rnacentral:rRNA from 1 species
CCUACGGGAGGCAGCAGUAAGGAAUAUUGGUCAAUGGACGAAAGUCUGAACCAGCCAUGCCGCGUGAAGGAUGACGGCCCUCUGGGUUGUAAACUUCUUUUAUCUGGGACGAAAAAAGGGAAUUCUUUCUCACUUGACGGUACCAGAGGAAUAAGCACCGGCUAACUCCGUGCCAGCAGCCGCGGUAAUACGGAGGGUGCAAGCGUUAUCCGGAUUCACUGGGUUUAAAGGGAGCGUAGGUGGGCAGGUAAGUCAGUGGUGAAAUCUCCGGGCUUAACCCGGAAACUGCCAUUGAUACUAUUUGUCUUGAAUUAUCUGGAGGUAAGCGGAAUAUGUCAUGUAGCGGUGAAAUGCUUAGAUAUGACAUAGAACACCCAUUGCGAAGGCAGCUUACUACGGAUAUAUUGACACUGAGGCUCGAAAGCGUGGGGAUCAAACAGGAUUAGAUACCCUGGUAGUCCACGCCCUAAACGAUGGAUACUCGACAUCAGCGAUACACUGUUGGUGUCUGAGCGAAAGCAUUAAGUAUCCACCUGGAAGUACGACCGCAAGGUUGAAACUCAAAGAGUAGUGCGNGACGUGACCAGGCCAGACGACGGAGAGGGA